rnacentral:rRNA from 1 species
UAAAAACCCCGACUUCGGAAGGGGUGUAUUUAUUAGAUACAAAACCAAUGCCCUUCGGGGCUCUUUGGUGAUUCAUGAUAACUAUACGAAUCGCACGGCCUUGCGCCGGCGAUGGUUCAUUCAAAUUUCUUCCCUAUCAACUUUCGAUGUUUGGGUAUUGGCCAAACAUGGUUGCAACGGGUAACGGAGGGUUAGGGCUCGACCCCGGAGAAGGAGCCUGAGAAACGGCUACUACAUCCAAGGAAGGCAGCAGGCGCGCAAAUUACCCAAUCCCGACUCGGGGAGGUAGUGACAAUAAAUACUGAUACAGGGCCCUUUCGGGCCUUGUAAUUGGAAUGAGUACAAUUUAAAUCCCUUAACGAGGAACAAUUGGAGGGCAAGUCUGAUGCCAGCAGCCGCGGUAAUUCCAGCUCCAAUAGCGUAUAUUAAAGUUGUUGUGGUUAAAAAGCUCGUAGUUGAACCUUGGGCCUGGCUGGCCGGUCCGCCUCACCGCGUGCACUGGUCCGGCCGGGCCUUUCCCUCUGUGGAACCCCAUACCCUUCACUGGGCGUGGCGGGGAAACAGGACAUUUACUUU